rnacentral:rRNA from 1 species
CAUGUCUUUUUGAUUAUAAUUUAAAGUCUGACCUGCUCUAUGAAUAAUAUAUGUUUAAAUGGCCGCGGUAUUUUGACCGUGCAAAGGUAGCAUAAUAAUUAGUUUUUUAAAUGAGAACUGGAAUGAAUGGUUGGACGAGAAAGAUACUGUCUCAAUUUAAUUUUAAUUAGAAUUUUAUUUUUAAGUAAAAAAGCUUAAAUAUAUUUAAAAGACGAGAAGACCCUAUAGAGUUUUAUAUUAAAUAAAAUAUUUAAAAAUUAAAGUAUUUAUUAUUUAUUUAUUUAAUUUAGUAUUUGGUUGGGGUGACUAAAAAAUUUAAUUAACUUUUUUUAUAUAUUUACAUUAAUUUAUGAAUUAUUGAUCCAUAUUUUAUGAUUAAAAGAUUAAAUUACCUUAGGGAUAACAGCGUAAUUUUUUUUUAGAGUUCUUAUCGAAAGAAAAGAUUGCGACC